rnacentral:rRNA from 1 species
GUGGGGAAUAUUGCGCAAUGGGCGGAAGCCUGACGCAGCGACGCCGCGUGGGGGAUGACGGCCUUCGGGUUGUAAACCUCUUUCAGCAGGGACGAAGCGCAAGUGACGGUACCUGCAGAAGAAGCACCGGCCAACUACGUGCCAGCAGCCGCGGUAAUACGUAGGGUGCAAGCGUUGUCCGGAAUUAUUGGGCGUAAAGAGCUCGUAGGCGGUUCGUCGCGUCGGCUGUGAAAACCCGGAGCUCAACUCCGGGCCUGCAGUCGAUACGGGCGGACUAGAGUUCGGCAGGGGAGACUGGAAUUCCUGGUGUAGCGGUGAAAUGCGCAGAUAUCAGGAGGAACACCGGUGGCGAAGGCGGGUCUCUGGGCCGAAACUGACGCUGAGGAGCGAAAGCGUGGGGAGCGAACAGGAUUAGAUACCCUGGUAGUCCACGCCGUAAACGUUGGGCGCUAGGUGUGGGGGCCAUUCCACGGUCUCCGUGCCGCAGCUAACGCAUUAAGCGCCCCGCCUGGGGAGUACGGCCGCAAGGC